GACGAACGCUGGCGGCGUGCUUAACACAUGCAAGUCGAACGGAAAGGCCCUGCUUUUGUGGGGUGCUCGAGUGGCGAACGGGUGAGUAACACGUGAGUAACCUGCCCUUGACUUUGGGAUAACUUCAGGAAACUGGGGCUAAUAUCGGAUAGGAGCUCCUGCUGCAUGGUGGGGGUUGGAAAGUUUCGGCGGUUGGGGAUGGACUCGCGGCUUAUCAGCUUGUUGGUGGGGUAGUGGCUUACCAAGGCUUUGACGGGUAGCCGGCCUGAGAGGGUGACCGGCCACAUUGGGACUGAGAGACGGACCAGACUCCUACGGGAGGCAGCAGUGGGGAAUAUUGCACAAUGGGCGGAAGCCUGAUGCAGCAACGCCGCGUGCGGGAUGACGGCCUUCGGGUUGUAAACCGCUUUCGCAUGUGACGAAGCGUGAGUGACGGUAAUGGGUAAAGAAGCACCGGCUAACUACGUG
rnacentral:rRNA from 1 species